rnacentral:lncRNA from 1 species
AGAGUUUUAGAUAUGUUUGAACCUGUUGAUUAGUAAAAUGAAUAAUAAUCUCAUAUGUGCUUCUAAAAUUAUGGAUCCAAACUUUGUUAGCUUCUUUUAACCUUCAACUACUGUUUAGAUCAUACACUUACCUAGUUUAUGUAUGUAUGACAGCUUGUUAAAUACAUGAUCAAUUAUAUAGAGAUGUUUCUAAAAUCAUUAAUCCAAUCUUGUUAGUCACCUAAGGCCAUGAUAUUUUAUUUCUAUUGUUAGUUUUCAUGAGAUGAUUACAUAAGGAUACAACUUUUAAUAUAUGCUUGUUCUAAAACUAGUUUUCUUAUAAAAUACCUAGAUGAUCAAUUGUGCUCAUGUGAACUAUAAACCCACCCUUGUUAACUGAGGAUAAAUGUGCUAUAGUUUUGUGAUUAGAAACCUUCAUGACACAACAUAGAAUAAUGAUGCUUGCCUCAAUUAAUAAGUAUAACAAGUUUAGCUAAAUUCUAAUUUAGGAAAUAACUUUACUACUCUUAAUUAAGAUGUG